rnacentral:rRNA from 1 species
GACGAACGCUGGCGGCGUGCUUAACACAUGCGAGUCGAACGGAAAGGCCCUGCUUUUGUGGGGUGCUCGAGUGGCGAACGGGUGAGUAACACGUGAGUAACCUGCCCUUGACUUUGGGAUAACUUCAGGAAACUGGGGCUAAUACCGGAUAGGAGCUCCUGCUGCAUGGUGGGGGUUGGAAAGUUUCGGCGGUUGGGGAUGGACUCGCGGCUUAUCAGCUUGUUGGUGGGGUAGUGGCUUACCAAGGCUUUGACGGGUAGCCGGCCUGAGAGGGUGACCGGCCACAUUGGGACUGAGAUACGGCCCAGACUCCUACGGGAGGCAGCAGUGGGGAAUAUUGCACAAUGGGCGGAAGCCUGAUGCAGCAACGCCGCGUGCGGGAUGACGGCCUACGGGUUGUAAACCGCUUUCGCCUGUGACGAAGCGUGAGUGACGGUAAUGGGUAAAGAAGCACCGGCUAACUACGUG